AUGCCCCCCCACACACAUACAGAGGCCCCCCCACACACACCUACAUAUGCCUCAUACACAUAGACACAAAGAUGCAUGCCCCCCACACACACCUACAUAUGCCUCAUACACAUAGACACAGACACAUGCCCCCCACACACACCUACAUACGCCUCAUACACAUAGACACAAAGACACAUGUCCCACACACACCUACAUACGCCUCAUACACAUAGACACAAAGACACAUGCCCCCCCACACACACCUACAUACGCCUCAUACACAUAGACACAAAGACACAUGCCCCCCCACACACAUACAGAGGCCCCCCCACACACACCUACAUACGCCUCAUACACAUAGACACAAAGACACAUGCCCCCCCACACACAUACAGAGGCCCCCCCACACACACCUACAUAUGCCUCAUACACAUAGACACAGACACAUGCCCCCCACACACACCUACAUACGCCUCAUACACAUAGACACAAAGACACAUGUCCCACACACACCUACAUACGCCUCAUACACAUAGACACAAAGACACAUGCCCCCCCACACACACCUACAUACGCCUCAUACACAUAGACACAAAGACACAUGCCCCCCCACACACACCUACAUAUGCCUCAUACACAUAGACACAAAGACACAUGCCCCCCCACACACACCUACAUACGCCUCAUACACAUAGACACAAAGACACAUGCCCCCCCACACACACAGAGGCCCCCCACACACACCUACAUACGCCUCAUACACAUAGACACAAAGACGCAUGCCCCACACACACACCUACAUACGCCUCAUACACAUAGACACAAAGACGCAUGCCCCACACACACACCUACAUACGCCUCAUACACAUAGACACAAAGACGCAUGCCCCACACAUCAUACACAUAGACACAAAGACACAUGCCCCCCACACACCUACAUAUGUCUCAUACACAUAGACACAAAGACACAUGCCCCCCACACACACCUACAUAUGUCUCAUACACAUAAACACAAAGACACAUGCCCACACAUACACACCUACAUAUGUCUCAUACACAUAGACACAAAGAUGCAUGCCCCCCACACACACCUACAUACACCUCAUACACAUAGACACAAAGACACAUGCCUCCCCACACCCACAGAGGCCCCCACACCUACAUACACCUCACCACAUAUGCCUCAUACACAUAGACACAAAGACACAUGCCACCCCCCACACAGAGGCCCCCAUACCUACAUACACCUCAUACACAUAUACACAAAGACACAUGCCCCCCCCCACACACACACAGACACUCACUAAUUAGCCCAAGAACGCCCAGGCUGUCCGUACAGAGAAGGUGCAGGCCUUUUGCCUGUGAGCUUUGGCUUUCCGGAUACCAACUACUAUCCAUGCUACCCUGGAAGAUGAAGGGACACAAUGAGCUCCCCAUGAAUAUAGAAGAAGGGGGAGCCCUCCCUCUCCUACUCCACUCUUCUGCCCCUCACUUGAGACGCCCAGCAAAGUCUAAGAUCUUGGAUCUCUUCCAUCAUCGGCUGAGGAUGAAAGGGAUACAUAGAAAUGAUAGGGAAUGGCAACAUGUCCCUGUGACCUCGGCCACUGCUAUCACAGGCCUCCCCUGAACCCCACUCAUUAUCCCGCUGAUCCUUCUGAAUGCUCUUUGUUUACUUUUAGUCUCGAUGUCACCCAGAGGUAUCAGAUCACAGCAAAGCCUGGGAGAAAAUGCUGGACUUGCUCAGCCAGGUUUGCCCUUUCUGCUUUCAAAUUGCUUGUACAUUCACUGCAUUUUUGCCUUUGGUUAUUCUGUCAGAUUCGGCAGGGAACCAUCAGUAUACCUCACAGUUUUUACCAUCACUCAUACUGUUAAAAUGUUGAACAAUUCCUCCCUGGCCUAACUAAACCCAGAGAGUGCCCAGGCUUACAUUCAUGUUCUCUUCUC
rnacentral:lncRNA from 1 species